CCCUGUUUCCCCGAAAAUAAACCCUACCCCGAAAAUAAGCCCUAGUCGGAUUUUCGGGGUGGGCUGCAAUAUAAGCCCUACCCCGAAAAUAAGACCUAGGCAUUGCACCUUUGUGGCGAGACUUCCUUCUUCUACUGUAGGAGGAGCGUUGCGGGCCGUGGCAUUGCGCAACGUGAUGACGACAUUUCGCAGUGCCGUCAGUCUGCCUUCACGGAUCUUCAGCGAAGGAUCCAUUUCCGGGCGGUGAGGCACCCAGUGGUCGGACUCGGCAAGGAAUCUUUGAAAUGUGAGUACCGGUAGAUAUUUUAUGUCUGGGACUAAAUUAAUUAAAGUGGGCGGGGGGGAAUUCAUUAAAGGGGGGGUGAAUUAAUUAAAGGGUGGGCUGGAUUAAUUAGAGGGGGUGAAUUAAUUAAAGGGGUGGUGAAUUAAUUAAAGGGUGGGCUGGAUUAAUUAGAGGGGGUGAAUUAAUUAAAGGGGUGGUGAAUUAAUUAAAGGGUGGGCUGGAUUAAUUAGAGGGGGUGAAUUAAUUAAAGGGGUGGUGA